GUUACGGAGAUCCCUAAAGCUAGCCCUGAUUGAUCCGGCAAGCUUAACUCCCCCUUAUUUGUGGCCUCCCAGACACCAUAAAGACAAAUGUAGCUACUCUCCAAGACCACAUACAAACUGCCUGUGCUAUAAAUGCUGCCCUGGAUGCCACACAGCUGGCUGAUCUUGUUUGCCAAAACUUUGUGGCUACCUCCACAGACAGAUUUAUUUGGGAUCCUGUCCUCAGAUCGCUUCAGGCUAGGUGCCUGAGAACUUUGGCCAAUUUUGGAGGGAGGUACCUGCCUGGGUACUUUCACUUCCCUUCGCUGAUCAUGUUUUGAAAAACUUUUGAGCUAGCUC